rnacentral:rRNA from 1 species
GAUUAACGCUGGCGGCAUGCCUUACACAUGCAAGUCGAACGGCAGCGGGGGAGAAGCUUGCUUUUCCUGCCGGCGAGUGGCGAACGGGUGAGUAAUACAUCGGAACGUGCCCUGUAGUGGGGGAUAACUAGUCGAAAGAUUAGCUAAUACCGCAUACGACCUGAGGGUGAAAGUGGGGGACCGCAAGGCCUCAUGCUAUAGGAGCGGCCGAUGUCUGAUUAGCUAGUUGGUGGGGUAAAGGCCUACCAAGGCGACGAUCAGUAGCUGGUCUGAGAGGACGAUCAGCCACACUGGGACUGAGACACGGCCCAGACGCCUACGGGAGGCAGCAGUGGGGAAUUUUGGACAAUGGGCGAAAGCCUGAUCCAGCAAUGCCGCGUGUGUGAAGAAGGCCUUCGGGUUGUAAAGCACUUUUGUCCGGAAAGAAAUGGCUCUGGUUAAUACCUGGGGUCGAUGACGGUACCGGAAGAAUAAGGACCGGCUAACUACGUGCCAGCCGCCGCCGUAA